rnacentral:rRNA from 1 species
GCAUAACGCGAAGAACCUUACCAAGGCUUGACAUCCCCUUGACCGGCACAGAGAUGUGCCCUCUCCUUCGGGAGCAAGGGUGACAGGUGGUGCAUGGUUGUCGUCAGCUCGUGUCGUGAGAUGUUGGGUUAAGUCCCGCAACGAGCGCAACCCUUAUCCUUAGUUGCCAGCAUUUAAGGUGGGCACUCUAAGGAGACUGCCGAUGAUAAAUCGGAGGAAGGUGGGGAUGACGUCAAAUCAUCAUGCCCCUUAUGUCUUGGGCUACACACGUGCUACAAUGGUCGGUACAAAGGGGAGCGAAGGAGUGAUCUGGAGCAAAUCCCAAUAAACCGAUCUCAGUUCGGAUUGUAGGCUGCAACUCGCCUACAUGAAGUCGGAGUUGCUAGUAAUCGCGAAUCAGAACGUCGCGGUGAAUGCGUUCCCGGGUCUUGUACACACCG